CUAGAGGGUUAUUCAGAUCCACAAGACGUGGUGCAGUAUAAGUUGGCCAAGACUUUGACAUUGUGUGAUUAAUUUAGGUUAAUUUAGUUUCAGGAGUUCACUCUUCACUCUUCAAAGAUGCAAUGAGCUGUGUGUUAGAACUAUGAUCUUUAGAUUCUUAAAACAAUGAGGUGAUGACAUCACAAGAUUUUGGAAUUCUUGGUUUCCAUGGCUACAGAACAUCAGCCUGGGCUAGGCAGUAAUUUCUGGUGAAGGCAAAGUUCUGUAAAUAUUUAUUUAGGGGUACAAUAUGGCAAAAACUGUAGAGCAGCUGCAUAAACGCAUGUUUAUAGAGGGCUGCUUCAAGGUGGGAACCCUGCUUUUACAACAAGGGACACAAAACUAGUUAGGAACAAGCAAUGAAUGUUAUAGAUAAUAUUAUAGCAACAAGAAAUAUUUGUGCUUAGGUAAAAAAAACAUUUGUGAGAACCUGUGCAUUUGUGUAGUUUUAAGUGUAGUUGUAUUUUCGUGUAAGAAAUUAUCUUUCAAAGGCUUUUACACAGCAAAUAGUGUAGCCUUCACUAGCUAACAGUGAAGGCUAAUGGAUGGCUUUGCAGGCUAAAAGCUAACAGCACAGUUUAAGUCAAAAUUCACUUGAUUUCAGUUUUAUUUAUACAGCGCCAAAUCACAACAACAGCUGCCUAAAGGUGCUGAAAUGUGGUAACUGAUCUAUAAAUUGUAUCUGUGAGCAUUAUUGUGACUAGCUACUUGGUAAACGUUAUUCUUUUCCCUUUUCUGCCUAAUGUCUUUUCUUUAUCACUCACCAUAGUUUAUUUGCGCUCUUUUGCAAAACCUAUUUUCUAUUGGCUCAAUUGUGUGCCUAUCAAGUUUAUUUUGUUCUCCUUUCACCUUUUUGGCUUAACCCAUACAUGCUUGACUGCGAUUGGUUAAGAGAAGUAAAUCCCUCCUCCUUAUGCUGACUGAGGGAGAUUCCGCGCGUGUAAUGCAGAUAUGGCUAUCGCGCAUCGGGUGAAAUGCUAGAGCAAGCCUUCCGUGAUUAGUGAGGGAAAAUACUUUCUGCAUUGGCAAAAAAUAACAGACCAUAACCGGGAUUUGGUUGAGGAGGAGCAGAACGGAAUCACCAAGAAGACCGGAGGUUGUUUCUACGGGAAUUAUAGUACUUCCGACUGUUUUGGCUGGGUUUUUCUUCCUUCCAUCCCAUUGGUGGUUAUUCAUGGACAUGAUGUUGGAACUCUCCUCUGUGAGGAGAUGGCAAGCCGUCCCAGACCCUAGAAUUCAUCUUCUACAAGGAUCGUCCUUCACUCCUUUGAAGAUUCACGGUUCGAAGUAUUGGAUCCACGGUCACGGAGCUCCACAUGCCAAUCCUGGGGACGGCAGAACUUUGUUUUGGAGUUUGGCAGAAGUGUGUCAGUCGGUGCAGGUGUCCUGGACUUGCUUUGGCUUUUAAUAAUUUGGGCUCUUGCUAUCUUACUAAAGAGACUGCAGUGCUGAGUCCUUCACCACCUCCUCAUCCUCCUCCUUUUCCAUCUACACAUCUCUGCUGCCACUGCCAAACCUAAACAUUUCUCUUUUAUGGUAGAUGUAUGUAUGUGCACAUGCAUCUUAUAAGGGUCAAAUGAGUUCAGUAAUGUAAAGGUCAUUAAACCUCAGUUCUUCAAAGAUAAAAGACUUCUCUUAUCAUAUUUCUGCAGUUCCACACAUCUAAUUUAUUCACCUUCUGUCUCCUUCGUAGAGGAUAAUAAGGUGAUAUAUGUUUUUC
ensembl:lncRNA